AAAAGAAGGGUGACGGGAGCAGAGUGUGUGCUCAGGAGUGAGGACUUCAGACUUUAUUCCAGGGAAGGGAAAACUAUAAAUGGGGUUGCAGUAGAGAAGUAGAGUGAUAUAGUUUUGCCGUGAAAGAAAGAUCAACAUGGAGUAUGAAUCAAUGAAGUGAUUGUCUUUAAAAGGUAGCUGUGGAUGGAUGCCUUUAUGAGAACUGUUGGAGUCUGCACCUUGAUCUAAGAAACUAAUCGGAAUGAAGGAGUGGGAGCUCCUUACAUUCUCCUGACGUAUAAACUGUGAUGGAAAAACUCUUCACCUUCCCGAGUUCUGGGAAUGCAGGAACCACAAUGCUUCUACCAGUUCCUCCCUCAUCCUGAGAGACCUCUACACUUUGGAUUCCUCUGCUUGUGAUAACAGCUAUAUUUACUUUGGUCUUUUUCAACGAGUCCUCCAAGUGUCGAUUGUUGAAGGAUAGCCUUCUGUGGCUAAGCACACAUGCUAAUAGACAUAAAUCUGUAAGCAGUUUUGGGAAGUGAUUGGGAAGAAAAAGAUACUUCAUUUGUUGCAGAGACGAUGAGGCAGAAGAUAGAGAGGCCUGGCAGGAAAGCUAUCCAGCCAGCUGCUCAGAGAGCCUCAUAAUGCCAGCCCCUUAAUGGGGUUCACAUAUCCCAAGAGCUGACCACAGCAAAUGAAGACUACAAAGUUAAUUAUCUGUUUUCCACUGCUCAAGCAUAUGGAAGAAGAGGAAAGCAACUCAGUACCUCUCAUUUCUUUCUUCUAAACACAAGGUUUAUUCCUGAUCUUCUUCCUCUACUCCCAGAAAGAGUCUUGCCCAAGAUCAACUCUGCCACUUCAAAAUAAGCGCUCUGUACUUUAAGCUGUGAUGCCAUCAUGAUCAAUGUACCUGAACAAGAAAAAUAUGUUCUCAGUCAGGGUCUAUCUCUGUUUAACCCGGUCCUGACCACCUUCCUGGAGUAGGUAGGAAGCAAUUAAAUCAAUCUUUGAGAUGUGGUGCCGGGAACCUUUUAAGUUUCCCAGGUGAUUCUACCAUGAAACCAAAGAGAAAAACUGUUCUUCUCAAUGAUCAAUUCCUGAAAGUUCCUUCCAGCUCUACUAGUCUAUGAAUGAAAGUCAAUUUUUUAUCCUUCUCUUUCUUUUUAACCAGAGUUCUCGACUUCUGUCAUUGCAGGGAGGAGCACAUUGUAGACGCCUAUUUGUUCCAAAAUUCUGACAUAGCCACAUUUGAGCAAGGAUCCAGGAAUAUAUUCCUUCAAAGAAAAAAACAUUUUCCAGGAAAAAAGUUGAGAAUACUUGGAAAUUUAAGGAAUUAUAAAAAUAUCUUUGUCUUGGGACUCCCAGCAGGCUGGACCGAUUCAGAUGGUCCCCAUUUUAAAGAAUGUGAAACGAAAAGAUCACGGAGGCCUGGUGUGUUGCAUGUUAGGAAUGAACCAUCCACCUCCCCUCCUAGACAAAAGGCUUCUACUGACUUCAGAAGAGUGACUGAUUCUGCCAGAAGCUGUUUCUGCCUAUGUGGGGUUUUCAGAGCUAAAAAUAGCAAAGAUGAUAAAAAUAUUGUAUGUAAGUGACGAAUACUAUACAAUGAUCACAUCCUAGUCAAUUAUCGUAUCCCAACAGUAGCCUGGUGGGCUGACCACCUUGGCUCUGGUUUUAUAAGUGGCCAAAAAUUUGUCUGUGCCUUAAGUGCUGCCUCUAUAGAAGUAUUUAAUUCAGAAAAUUAAUACAGGUGAUUAAAUAGUGUUUACCUUUCACUCCCACAAAAUGCAACCAUUUGGAUACCUGUUAUAUGGGAAAGAUUACUGAACAGAGCACUCUAGAAUUGGAUCUCACUUUCUUACUGAGCAUUUGCUUUUUCCAUAUUGUAUAACCUCUCAGAGACCUGGUUUCCUUAAUGCUUGGCACCUGAAAUGUCAGUAUCAGUAAUUAUAUGAAUGAAUGAAUGAACAAAUGAAUGAAUGAAUGACUAUUAGCUCCCCCCGCCUAUUAGGAUUUUGGCAAGUACCGUUUCAGAAACGAUGGUCAAAAUGUUUACAAACUGAACAAUAUCAUUAAAAAAAUGUAACGUGUUGUUAUUGUUAAAAUCAAUAAUAAUAAUAAUGGUAAUCUAAAACUGAUUAUGUAAGAAAAGAAAAAAACCUUGUUUGUGCCAUCAAAAUGCUGCCUCAGAAUCCAAGCUGUUGAUUCCCUAUAUUGUAUUCAUAAAAGAAUCACAAUUUUUUAAAGCUCUUACUAACACAAAACCCAAACACACUUAAACCAUGCUUUUUUGUUGGUUUGUCUUGGUUUGGUUUUUGAGUCAGGGUCAGGCUCUGUCGCUCAGGCUGGAGUUCAGUGGCACGAUCACAGCUCACUGCAGCCUCAACCUUCUGGGCUCAAGCAAUCUUCCCACCUCAGCCUCCUGAGUAACUGGGACCACAGGCAGUGGCCACCACUCCUGGCUAAUUUUGUUGUUGUCAUUGUUAGAGGCAGGGUUUCUCCAUGUUGCCCGGGCUGGUCUCAUACUCCUGUGCUCAAGCAAUCCUUCCGCCUCAACCUCCCAAAGUGCUGGGAUUGCAGGUUUAAGCCACCACACUUGGCCUAAAAUAUGCUUUAAAACUUAAUAAUUUUUUCUAAGAUAGUUUUUUAUUCACAUCAGAAGCAUCAGUUUAGAAGGAUGGGCAAGGUGACCAGAGAAGUGAGAGGUGAGAAUUGAUGCACUGACAGUGAGAAAGAGGACUGGGAAAAAACUGUUGAAACUUCUGGACUCAAGGACCAGACUGUGAUUAUGUAAUGCAGAUGCAAGUAUCCCACUCUUAGAAAACCCUAUGGGUAUCAUUUUAUUACAGCGUUUUGCAACUGAUAUUAAUAGUGAUGACAAAGACCACAUAAUUAGUAUGAGUAUACUCUAGUUAAAAUGCAAAGAAAUGACUAGCACACAUCUUUGGACUAUCUUCCAAUAAAAAUGCUUCUUAAAAAUUUUGGUGCUUUGAAGAGCAAUUCUCAAUUUGUGGUCCAGGAAUAUUACAUCAUUCUAUAUUUCAUUCCUCACGGGUCAGGUUUUCUCUGCCUUAAAGAUUGGUACUAACUCCAAGCAAGUCCUUUCUGUGUCUUCCCUCCCAAACCGGGGACACAUUAGCUAAAGGGUUCACCAAGCAUAGUCCUGGGGAACUGCUAACCUGCUAACCUGCUAACCUGCUAACCUGCUAGAAGACCUCAGAGACAUGGAAGUCCAUUUGUGAGUUCUUAUUGGUGGCUGACUCAUAAUUCUGCAGAACCUUACCAGUUAGAGAGCUAUUUUUAUAGCUUCCUAAUUGAAAUACUCAAGACAACUAAAAUUUGAUCAUUCACAGACUAAAAUUAGCAACUUCUUUGAGUUUGUUGAGAAUCCCAAAUUAGUAUCUUUUUUACGUUCAGCUGCCACACAAGUCUCUAACUUUACAAAUACCCCACUGUGCAUACACAUACAGACUGCACACUUUUCAUUCGGGGGGAAGAUGUGCUUUGUUAUUAAUUUGUCUUUUUGCUAUCUUAAGUUCAUUGUAAUUUUUUAAUUACUGUCAUUUUUUUGCUUUUUAAAGUAUAAAUUACUCCUUGACCUGAUCAUUUGGGUUGUGAGUUGAUUGGUUAAUCCCACAGCAUAGUGAGACAGCUGGAUCAGCAAUUUUUCUGACAUAAAACUUCAAAUCACUGGCCUUUACCACACACUUAUUUUGCAAUUCAAGCAUGACUCAUUUUCUAUUACUAAUACGUAUAUGGAAAAUCAUCCCACGUUUGGUUUCAUACAAUGCCUGUGCAUUUGCAUUGUUUAUACUCUGAAGUUAAGUGUAAUGACAUUACUGGGAGAUUUUUUCAAGUUUACAGAACACAAUUUCAUAAUAUAAAAUCUUGCGUAGAAGUUCAUAAUUUUCACCUAUACGGUAAAUAAUAAGCAAUUCAUAUAUGCUUCCACCAUGUUUAUUUGUGUAUUUCAUCCUUUGUUCUUUGCUAUCCCGAAGUUAUUUUCUACUAAAGAGUAAUAAACAGGAGUUAGGCACAGGGGAGCUUUGGCCCACUUCAAAAUGCAAGAUUAGGAGUGCAGUGGGAGGGGAGAACAGUCUUUAACCGAAGAAAAAAAGUCAGGGAGCCUUAAAAGGGCAGUUCUCUA